UCCAGACUCCUACGGGAGGCAGCAGUGAGGAAUAUUGGUCAAUGGCCGAGAGGCUGAACCAGCCAAGUCGCGUGAGGGAAUAAGUCCCUACGGGUCGUAAACCUCUUUUGCCGGGGAGCAAGGGCGGGGACGUGUCCCGGCCCGGAGAGUACCCGGAGAAAAAGCAUCGGCUAACUCCGUGCCAGCAGCCGCGGUAAUACGGAGGAUGCGAGCGUUAUCCGGAUUUAUUGGGUUUAAAGGGUGCGUAGGCGGACGCUUAAGUCAGCGGUAAAAUUGCGGGGCUCAACCUCGUCGAGCCGUUGAAACUGGGUGCCUUGAGUGGGCGAGAAGUACGCGGAAUGCGUGGUGUAGCGGUGAAAUGCAUAGAUAUCGCGCAGAACUCCGAUUGCGAAGGCAGCAUGCCGGCUCCACACUGACGCUGAGGCACGAAAGCGUGGGUAUCGAACAGGAUUAGAUACCCCGGUA
rnacentral:rRNA from 1 species